CGGGUCGUAAAACUCUGUUGUUGGAGAAGAAUGGUCGGCAGAGUAACUGUUGUCGGCGUGACGGUAUCCAACCAGAAAGCCACGGCUAACUACGUGCCAGCAGCCGCGGUAAUACGUAGGUGGCAAGCGUUAUCCGGAUUUAUUGGGCGUAAAGCGAGCGCAGGCGGUUUUUUAAGUCUGAUGUGAAAGCCCUCGGCUUAACCGAGGAAGCGCAUCGGAAACUGGGAAACUUGAGUGCAGAAGAGGACAGUGGAACUCCAU
rnacentral:rRNA from 1 species